UUGCUGAAGUGCAUUUUCUCUGUCUAAUAACAGAUGAAGGUGAUAGGAGGUUCUGAGGAGGGCCUGUUUCUUCUGUGGUGGAGGCUGUGAAGGGUGAUGACUGUGGCGGUGUUUCUUCUCGGCGCUCCUCUCAGUUCAACUCCCUUGUGACCGGCAGCACGGCACUCCCAGUGCUGUCACUAGUAAGUCAUGAGAUGUCUCCAGCUUUGCUGUGCCUGCUGCAGGUGGCUGAUGAGCUGAGCUGAGAUCAGCUCAAGCUUUCUUGAAGGCCUGUGUGGACAGGAGGAGCCGCUGCUGGCCUUCAGGACUGGAAAGUAUGCGCUCUGUGGCCACAGUCCCACCUCUCAGCCUGGGAACGGAAGCAGGGAGUCGCAAGGGAAAACAAGCAGACAAUCAGUGCCCUGGGCUUUGCAAUGGAUAGCUUUCCCCCACCCUCCUGCUCCAAGCGGCCACCCCCACCCCCAGCGCUGAAACCCGGCCAGCCCCAGCUGCCUGUCCAGAUGUGGGAGAGAAGGAGAGGCAAGGUCCAACAGGGGAUGGAGGGCCUGAAACAGAAAGGGGCUCCAGAGAGAAUGGAGUAAAAAAGAGAAUCAAGACUUUGAGAGAGAGUAAGAUGGAAAGAUGUCAAUGGGGAUGUCUGAAUUCCCAGGGUCUUUAAGCGAAAGGUGGACAAGGAAUAGAAAGGUGUCAUUGGCUUCCAAUUCAUUUCUGGACAGUUCCAAAUAAGAGGAUCCAUGACACCAAAUUGUGCUUUCUCCGAAUAGCCAAUGCAAUCAAGUCUGAUCUCAUGAUCUCAGUGGACUGGAACAUGUCCUAUCCCAGAGAAUGCAGACUUGGCAUAGUUGUAUCCAUACAGUUGUUCCUGCUUGCCUGUGCAGGUCCUUCCAGGCCGGUCCUGAUUUAUGAACAACCCCUGAGCUCUCACUCCAUCCUGGAGGGGCUCUCUGAUUAGAGAUGGAGAAGAGAGGGUGAGUGCACACACUCAUGCAUCCACUCGCGCACACCAGCAUUUGGUUCUAAUUACACACGGGGCGACUCCAGGGCCGGGUGUCAUCUAGAACACGGAGCUAGAUUUACACUUGACAUGUUUUAUUCACACAGGUUGGUCCUGGCCUGGUAAUUGCAACAUAUUAUCUGGACUGAUUCAUCAAAGGGAGCAGCCUGCUACAGUAAACUCUUAAACGAACGACUCAUAUGGGUCGCAGACGUGAAAAGUGGAGGGUUUUAUUAGCAAAAAAAAAAAAAAAGAGUGAACCAACAAGUACAGUCCAAAUGCUUUGGUAAAAGAGGUGUUUGUGAAAUGUUUAUGCCUUUUUUAGGAAGACUUGGAAGUAGCCUCUGUUCUUGCAGAAAAAGUUUACGAUUUGAUCAGCCAUAGUUUGGUGGCACUAUAUUAAGUCAUGUUUUAGUUGUCUAAAAGCCAAAAUUUGGCACAUCAGAUGAGGGUAUCCCCUCUGUUAUGCUUGUUAGCCAAAGGCUACCCCUUGCUGCUUUAACAGGAGUGUUAAUAUGUGAAGUCAGUAAACGCGCCAGUGGAUUUAGAGACUUAAACAUGCUGCCCUGCACUUGAUGCAUUGAAGGCCUAAUGCACAGAAAUGUAAAACUGGGAAGAGAUACAGUAAGCGCGUUCACAUUAGGGUUGUGCACCAUUCAGAACUGAAUUUUUUUUUUUUUUUUUUUUUUUUUUUUUUUUUAAUGUUAAAAGUAUA